UCUAGUUUCCCAACCAGAAAUUGAACCCCUGGGCCCCCUGUAUUGGGAGUGUGGCGUCUUAACUACUGGACCACCAGAGAAGUCCCCAAACCAGGUUUCUGAAAGCAUGGGAACCAAGAUAGCUCAGGGAGCAAGGUCCCUGAUCACCUGUACCAGAUGAAUCAACUUCGUUUUUUUCUGUCUCUGCUUCAUUUGUCCCACAAUUGUAUUUCCUGGGAGAGAAAGUCUGGUUGGCCAAACUUGGGUCUUAUGCCUACAAGUCCGCAGGGGGGACGUCAGAGCUCCUUGAUUGAUAUUCCUAUCAAGCCCACCUGCAGUGGGAGAGUGGGAGAGGAGUCCUGCCACCUCCAGGGGGUGUAGAUAAUAGAAAGGCAAUAAGAAUUUCAUGAUUGAGAGAGCUGCUGGGGAGGAGAAGUAAUGGAAGAAUCACCACCACGGUACUUUGUGGGGGAAAUUGAGUCACUGAAUGAAAGCAGUUUUCCUGAGGGUCACAGUGAACAGCAGAAAUGAAACGUUCUGACUCCUAAGAGCCAAAUGCGGAGUUCUCCCUUAUUCUGUCCAGCUUGCUAAAGCAGUGGUAGAGACCUGGCAGUGCAUCAGGAUUACUUACCUGUGGAACUUGUUAAAAAUAGAGGAGCUGGGUUUGGCAUGGGGCUGGUACCUCUGUAUUUUUAAUAAGCUUCUCAUCUGAUGCUGUUUACAGCUAACUUGGAGGCCCAUUACACCAAAUCUCCACAGGCUCCAAUAUAGAAAAAGAACAUUAUAGAAUGAAAAAUGAAAGAAUGUGAUUUUAGGAAAGAGAUUCAGGUUUGGUAAUAAAGUUUUUGAGGUCCAGUUAGUGUUAGCUAUCUCCGUGGUUUGGGGUUUGGAGAAGGUGAGGACAGGGAGAAUUCUUCCUUGUUUAUGACGAGCCUGGGCCAAGUAGAUUAGGAGGUUAGGCCAUUGUCCCAGAAAGCACUUGCAAUUGAGCACUGUGGAGAGGGGCUGGGGCCCCUCUGGGGCUGUCCUGACCAUCUAUAGUGUGAAGGGGGAGGAUCAGAUUAUAUGGAUAGAUUACCCAAGGGCUAAGAUCUGGAGUGUAGAAAGGGUUGGGCAAAAAGGCCUGAGCUGACACAGAGAGGAAAAGGAUCUGUUACCUUUAUCUUUCUGUUUCAUCACAACUGAUGACAGGCCACACCAAGUCUCUUAACCAGCUUGGAGCAUGGAGGAGAAGGGGGAAUGCUGUUCUUCUGCUGGGAAGCUGCAUGCCUCCACUUCUCACCUGGCUACUCCCAUCCAUCCUUCAGACCCUUGCUUAAAUAUCAUCCUCCUUCCUGGCCCCCAAAUCUAACGAGGCCCCCAGCUGUUCUCUCUUGUAGAUGCCUGUUCUUUCCCAGGGCCAGUUUCUUGGGCAUGCAGCUUGAGCAAAUCACAGGGCCCUGUACUUAGGAGGACUAAGCUUGGUUGGUUGGAUGCUCUGCUGUUGUCAUCUUGCAAUUCUUCAUAAUUUUUGAACAAAGGGCUCUCCAUUAUCAUUUUGACUAAGUUCUGAUGAUCAUAUAGCUGGUCCUGUUCGUUCCCUUCCUUAAACUUAGCAUCAUUUAAUUUCAAUAGCUCUAGCAUCUAAUUCUAUGCCUAUCACUAUAGUAUAGAUUUGAUAAACAUUAGGUUUAAUCAUUUGAAAUUAUUAUUUGACUAUGUUUGGCUUAUUAAAAAACAUUCAUGUGAUUCAACUUAAAAUAUUCUGAGUGACUGCAUAAAUGAAUGACGGAAAGAAGACAGAUGCCUUGAACACAGUGAGUUGCUCACCCAGUAUCCGCCUUCUUCCUUCCUACCUACCUUCCACCAGUUUUGAUUGUGUCCAUCUCCUCCCCAGUGAUUCAGAGAAGGAGACUCCAUCCCUAAUUCCAGGGUAAAUCCUGAUCAGUCUAUGUCUUCUUUCUUCUAAGAAUAAUCUUUCUUUUUUCUCUGGACAUUGUCAGGUUUGGAGGAGACCUGCUGUAGCCAUCUGCCAGUCUAACAACAACAACAACAACAACAACUCAAAGCAGAGAGCAGACGUCAAGAGAUUUCAGGAAAGCAGUAUCAGGAUAUGUUGUGGAUAGCCUGUAAUCUACCCCUGAACUUCAUAUUAUGUGAGAUAAUAAGAUUUGUGUGCUGUUCAUUUUGAUCGUCUAUUGUUAUGAAACAGUUAUCCCAAAAUGGAAUGGCUUGCAACAGCAUCCAUUUUAUUAUAUUUCACAAUUUUGUGGGCCAGGGAGCCAAGCAGAACUCAACAAGGAGUCACUCAGUGCUGUUCAGCUGACUGAUGGCCCGGACUGAAGAGUCCAGGAUGGCUUCCUCGUGCUCGGCAUCUUGGUGGUGAUGGCUUGAAGGCUUUUUGUUCGUUUUUUCAUUAAUUAGUUCUUGGCUGUGCCGGGCCUUUGCUGCUACAUGUGCACUGUCUCUAGUUGCAGUGGGUGGGCUUGCUUUCUGGUUGCAUGCGGCGGCUUCUCUCGUUGUAAAGCACCAGCUCUGGGCACAUGGGCUUAGUUGUUGUGGCACACGGUAGUUGCUCCUUGGCAGGUGGGAUCUUUCUGGACCAGGGAUCGAAACUGUAUCCCCUGCAUUGGCAGGCCAGUUCUUAACCUCUGGAUCACCAGGGAUGUCCCAUGGCUUGAAAUUUAAGUUCAACUGACACCUUCAGCCAGAACAUGUCCAUGUGGGCUCUCCAGCGUGGCCAUCCAAGGCAGUCAGGCUUUUCACAAGAAGCACAGGGCUCUCAAAGCGCUGUAAGAGGCAGAAAGCAGGAGAUUCCAGUCUCUUUAGGCCCAAGACUGGACUGGCACAGAAUCAUUUCUAUCAUGUACUAUGGAUCAAAGCAGGCACAAAAGCCACCCAGAUUCAAAUAGAGAUGACAUAGAUUCUAUCGCCUGAGGGGAAGAGUCCUGAACAUCACAUAAAUCAACUGAAAACAGGUUUUCUGUUAUUUACAGUCAAAGGGGUCAGAAAUAAUUAAAGAAAUUCAAGGUUCUUUCAAGCCUGGGAAGAUAUUUCUUCCUGUUCCUACGAUAUAGAGGUCAGUAAACUUUUUUGUUAAGGGCCAGAUAGUAAAUAUUUUUAAGUUUUACUGGUCACACAAUCUCUUUUGCAACUAUUUGGCUUUGCCAAUGACACAUGAAACCAGCCAUGGGAAAUAUUUAAACAACUGAUAUGUGUUCCAAAAAUUUUUAUUUGUGAUCACCAAAAUUUGAAUUUCAUAUAAUUUUCAUGCAUCAUGAAACAUUUUUUCCCAACUAUUUAAAAAUGUAAAAGCAAUUCUUAGCUUUUGGAAUGUACAAAUAAAGAAGGCAGGGCAGAUUUGAUCCCCAGACCACAUUUUACCUACCCCAGCUGUAAUGUAGCAAGCUUGCUCCAGGCUCAGGGCCUUUGCAUGUGCUGAAUUUCUGUCUGGAAUACUCCUCUCCAAGGUCUUCAUGUGAUUUGUACCUUCACUUCAUUUAGGUUUUAACUCAGAUAUUACCGCCUCAGAACAGCCUUCUCUGAUCAUUCUAUCUGAAAUAGUUCCCUAGCUAUUUAUAUUAGCCCCUUAUAUUUUCUUGAUAGCACUUCUCACUGUCUGAUAGGCAUCAGAUAGCACUGUCUGAUGUUUUGUUCCUUUAUGUCAUAUGUUUAUUUGCUGCCUCUUUUUGACCUUCAACAGAGUAGGAGUUAAAUGAAGCCUGUCCUGUUCUCUUUUGUAUACACCUUACCUAGUACAGUGCCUGGCACGUAAUGGAUACUCAAUAAAUAUUCAUUGAAUUUGUAUCGAAUGGUUCCAGUGCAGUUCUCUGGGGCUUGACAAGAACAUAGAUGCCUACUGAAUUCAUAUGUACUGAAUGAGAGGAAGAUAAUUAAAGCAGAAGGAGAUCACCUUAUCAUCUGCGCUCAGAGAAGCAUUGGUCCCUCUGUUAUUCCCUGUGUUUCAGGAAAAUGCCAAAGGAAAAACUCCUAUCUUCUUGUAUAAUUCUGAAAUAAAUUGUUUUCCUUUCUUGGCAGGUGUUUCCAAAUAGAUACCUUGCCUGUUUAGAGGCAGGAAAAAAGGAAACCAAACCACCUUAUUUGAGGACAGAGAGUGUCAUCUUGGUAGUUUUGAAAUAGUGUUUGGAAGCUAGAUUCUUCUAGACUACUAAGGUAUGAUUUCCCAGAAAUUCCUAAGAUCCCUGAAGGAAAAUGGCAAAGGUCUUUGACGUCACGACAACAAUCGAGAUGACCGAGUUGGGAAUAACAUCAGGGUAAACUUGUCAUCUGGAGAGAGAAGGAAAAAAGCAGUAGGUGUAACAUUUGGGAUAAGAAGAUUUGAGCUUGAACAAAGUGUACGGGGUGGUGUUGGGUGGUGGCCAGAGCCCAGCCAUUUGGCAGUGGGCUUUGCAAGCCUGGGGACAGAAGUGGCUUCCAUCCAGUCCUGCCUUUACUUAUUAAAACAAACAAUUGCCAGAGUAGAAGGAGCCUGCUGUAGGUGAAUACAGAAAACAGGAAGUAUCCAUGGGAAGCAGUGAGGGCUCCAAUCUAGUGGAUCUUAGAACUUAGGACUUUCCGAGUUCAGUGAGUUCAGGUGAUGAAUAGAGCUUUAGGGCACAAAGUAGAAAUGGAGAGUGAGGCUGAUGCAGAAGGUGACAAGAGGCUGAUCUGAGAAUGCUGAACACAGUGUGGGCUGUGUUCAUAGGAUGACUUGCCAAAGGAAGUAACUUUGGCUUUAGGCAGUUGACUCCAUUUUCAGGGGAUGAAGCAGAAAGAAGAGAGAUGUAGACUUUUUGGUUGCAAAUGGUGGGAAAGCUAACAAAAUGUUGCCAGAGUUUAAAAAGGGAAUUUAUUGAUUCACGUAAUUGAUAAGUAUGGCCUUAGGUAUGCCCAGAUCUAGGAUUUAAUUUUUUUAAAAGAUUAUUUAUUUUUGGCUGCAUCGGGUCUCUGUUGCUGCACAAGGGCUUUCUAUACUUGGAGUGAGCGAGGGCUACUCUUUGCUGUAGUGUGUGGGCUUUUCACAGUGGUGGCUUCUCUUGUUGCAGAGCAUGGGCUCUAGGCAUGCAGGCUGAAGUAGUUGCAGUGCACGGGCCUAGUUGCCCUAUGGCAUGUGGAAUCUUCUGGAGCAGGAAUCAAACCCAUGUUCCCUGCAUUGGCAGGCCUGAACCAUUGGUAUUUUCUAGAGCUUCAUCAUUGACUCCCAGAUCUGCUCUUCUUACAAACUCUUGCAGAGUAGCUCUUCAUUCAUGCUUUUCAACAGAUGCCCAAGGACAGCAUCCUUUGCGCCAGGUACAGUACCAACCAUCCUUGAAGGUUAACUCCUGAUCAUCCCACAAGCUAUGACACCCAACUCUCCGAAGUCCAGACCUCUCCUUUCAGAUUCAAACUUGGACAUUCACAUGAAUCCUGAAUUGAACUUGAGGCUCUUGUUAGAACAAGGGAGGAAGUCUACCUCCAGUUCCAUCUUCAUGCAAGCAUCUGCCCUCAACAGUUUACAGGAGUAGGCUGAAAAUCAGUUCUUUUACAAUUUUAUCUAACGUCUGCCAGAAGAAACAGAAGAUUAUAAAAAUGAGACUUACCAAAGUUCAUCUUCCAACAAAGAGGUGUUAUUUGAGGCAUGUGGGAUCUAGCGUCCUGAUCAGAGAUUGAACCCUGGCCUUGGG